rnacentral:lncRNA from 1 species
AUCAGUAUGCUGCUAGAGGAUCUUCUGGAAAGCUAUCCAUCUUGUCUAUGUACAAUAUUGAUUUCUAACGAAGAAAAGUUAUCCCUCGUGACUGUAUACAUUUUGGAUGUACAGUUACCUCCUGAAAUCAUUGCACAGUACAAAUUGAUGUAGAUAUCACUUUGAUGAACGUAAGCAGAUGCACUGAAAAUUCUACUGGG